UACGGGGGGGGCAAGCGUUGUUCGGAAUUACUGGGCGUAAAGGGUUCGUAGGUGGCCAACUAAGUCAGACGUGAAAUCCCCUCAGCUCAACUGGGGAACUGCGUCUGAUACUGGUCGGCUUGAGUGCAGGAGAGGAACGCGGAAUUCCAGGUGUAGCGGUGAAAUGCGUAGAUAUCUGGGAGGAACACCGGUGGCGAAGGCGGCGUUCUGGACUGCAACUGACACUGAGGAACGAAAGCCAGGGGAGCAAACGGG
rnacentral:rRNA from 1 species